rnacentral:lncRNA from 10 species
UUCCGAGUGGCUGUAGCAGCUUACAUUCCCACCAGCUCUGCGCCUUCCUAUUUCCUGUUAAUAAUCUUACAGUGACCUCUAAAUGUUCAAGCGAAAGAAAGAGUCACACAUCUCUCACUUUAAAUCAAAAGCAAGAAAUAAUUAAGCUUACUGAGGACGGCAUGUCAAAAGCUGACAUUGGCUUAACGCUAGGUCACUUGCACCAAACAGUCAGCCAAGUUGUGAAUGCAAAGGAAAAGUUCUUGACAGAAAUGAAAGUGCUAUUCCAGUGAACACAUGAAUGAUAAAACAGUCUGGAUAAAAGAUCAAACCAGCCACAACAUUCCCUUAAGCCAAAGCCUAAUCCAGAGAAAGGCUGUAACUCUCUUUGAUUCUGUGAAGGCUGAGAGAGAGCUGAGGAAGCUGCAGAAGAAAAAUUUGAAGUUAGCAGAGGUUGGAUCAUGAGGUUUAAGGAAAGAAGUGAUCUCCAUAACGUAAAAGUGCAGGUAAAGCUGCAAGUGCUGAUGGUGAAGCUGCAGCAAGUUAUCCAGAAGAUCUAGUUAAGAUACUUGAUUAAGGUGGCCACACUAAACAACAUAUAUUUAGGGUUGAUGAAACAGACUUCUACUGGAGGAAGAUGCCAUCAGGACUUUCAUAGCUGGAGAGAAGUCAAUGACUGACUUCAAAGACAUGAACUUCAAAGGACAUGUAACUCUUGUUACAGGCUAAUGUGGCUGGUGACUUUAAGUUGAAGCCAAUGCUCAUUUAACCAUUCCAAAAAUCCUUAAGAAUUAUGCUGACUCUACUCUGCUUGCGCUCUAGAUAUGGAUUACAGCCUGCAUAACAGCACAUCUUUUUACAGCAUGGUUUACUGAAUAUUUUAAGCCCCCUUUUGAGAACUAUUGCUCAGAAAAAACCCAAGAUUAUUUUUGUAAUAUUUGCGCUCUUUGACAAUGCAAUGGUCACUCAAAAGCUCUGGUGGAGACAUACAAAAAGAUUAAUGUUGUUUUACUGCUAACACAACAUCCAUUAUGCACCCUGAUGAAGGAGUAAUUUCACCUUUCAAGUCUUAUUAUUUAAGAAAUCUAUCUUGUUAGGCUGUAGCUACCAUAGACAGUGAUUCUUCUGAUAGAUUAGGGAAAAUUAAAUUUAACAAUUUCUGGGAAGGAUUCACCAUUCCUUUUAAUGCCAUUAAAAGCACUUAUGAUUCUUGGAAGGAGGUCAGAAUAUAAACACUAAUGAAAAUUUGAAAGAAGUUGAUUCCAAUCUUCAUGAAUGACUUUGAGGGGUUUAAGACUUCAGUGCAGGACGUCACUGCAGAUGUGGUAGAAAUAGCAAGAGAACUAGAGUUAGAAGUGCAGCCUGAAGUUCUGACUGAAUUGCUGCAAUCUCAUGAUAAAUCUUGAACGAAUGAGAACUUGCUUCUUACACAUGAACAAAGAAAGUGGUUUCUUGAGAUGGAAGUUACUCCUGGUGAAGAUGCUGUGAACAUUGUUGAAAUGACAACAAGGAAUUUAGAAUAUUGCACAAGUUUAGUUGGUAAAGCAGGAGCGGAGUUUGCGAGGAUUGACUCAAUUUUGAGAGAAUCUUUACUCUGGGUAAAAAGCUAUAAAUACCAACUCAUGCUACAGAGAAAUCUUUCAUGAAAAGAAGAGCUAAUCAGUGAGGCAAACUUCAUCGCUGUUUUAUUUUUGAAAAUUGCCACAGUCACCCCAAUCUUUAGCAACUAUCACACUGAUCAGCCAGCAGCCAUCAACAUUGAGGCAAGACCCUCCACCAGCAAAAAGAUUACGACUCACUGAGGACUCAGAUGAUCAUUGGCAUUUUUCAGCAAUAAAAUGUUUUUAAAAUUAUGGCCUGUACAUAGUUUUUUUUAGACAUAAUGCUAUUGCACACUUAAUAGACUAUGGUAUUGUGUAAACAUAACUUUUAAAUACACUAGAAACAAAGAAAUGUAUGUGACUGUCUUUAUUGUGAUACUUGCUUUCGUGUGGUUGUCUAGAACUGAACCCACAACAUCUCCGAGGUACGCAUGUAUCAUUUCAAAAUAUCGUCUUGUUGGUUUGUUCGUUUUUCUUUGGCUAGAAGAGCAUUUUUGUCCGAGUUUUUCCCCCCUACGCAUGUCCAGUUUGCCAGCUU